rnacentral:rRNA from 1 species
GACGAAGGGGGCUAGCGUUGUUCGGAAUUACUGGGCGUAAAGCGCGUGUAGGCGGUUAUCCAAGUCGGGUGUGAAAGCCUUGAGCUCAACUCAAGAAAUGCAUUCGGUACUGGGUGACUAGAGGACCGGAGAGGAUAGUGGAAUUCCCAGUGUAGUGGUGAAAUACGUAGAGAUUGGGAAGAACACCGGUGGCGAAGGCGGCAUUCUGGACCGAUAUUGACGCUGAGGAGCGAAAGCCAGGGGAGCAAACGGG